rnacentral:rRNA from 1 species
UACAGAGGGUGCGAGCGUUAAUCGGAAUUACUGAGCGUAAAGCGCGCGUAGGCGGUUUUGUAAGUCGGGUGUGAAAUCCCCAAGCUUAACUUGGGAACUGCAUUCGAGACUGCAUAGCUAGAGUAUGGGAGAGGGAAGUGGAAUUUCAGGUGUAGCGGUGAAAUGCGUAGAUAUCUGAAGGAACAUCAGUGGCGAAAGCGACUUCCUGGACCAAUACUGACGCUCAUGUGCGAAAGCGUGGGGAGCAAACAGG